rnacentral:rRNA from 1 species
UUGAACGCUGGCGGCAUGCCUUACACAUGCAAGUCGCACGGUAACAGGUCUUCGGAUGCUGACGAGUGGCGAACGGGUGAGUAAUACAUCGGAACGUGCCCAGACGUGGGGGAUAACGAGGCGAAAGCUUUGCUAAUACCGCAUACGAUCUAAGGAUGAAAGCAGGGGACCGCAAGGCCUUGUGCGUUUGGAGCGGCCGAUGGCAGAUUAGGUAGUUGGUGGGAUAAAAGCUUACCAAGCCGACGAUCUGUAGCUGGUCUGAGAGGACGACCAGCCACACUGGGACUGAGACAUGGCCCAGACUCCUACGGGAGGCAGCAGUGGGGAAUUUUGGACAAUGGGCGAAAGCCUGAUCCAGCAAUGCCGCGUGCAGGAUGAAGGCCUUCGGGUUGUAAACUGCUUUUGUACGGAACGAAAAGGCUCUGGCUAAUACCUGGGGCACAUGACGGUACCGUAAGAAUAAGCACCGGCUAACUACGUG